AUUCAACCGCUGCCAGUGACGACUGAGUCCCCCUCCCACGCAACGGCCGGCAGGACCAGUCAGGCUGAGGGGGAGGAGCGCCGUGGCGGGAGACUGGCGUUUAUAAUCAAACCUGCUGUCCCGCGGCGCUAUCUCUUUAGCCCCGCCCCGCGCUUUGCAUUCUGGGAAGCGUAGUUCCAGCCUUUCUCUUUCCGCGGGAGGGAAUGAAAUGGAGGGUGCAAAAAUCUUUGGUAGGUGGUGGAUGUGCCCAAGACACAGGGAAGAAAAAGUAGUGAACAGGGAAGUACAACACAGACUGUGAACUGGAGCAUCAUGGAAGAAGGAGCUUUGUCGUCUUCUUCUUUGCUAUAUAUUCACUUCCUACAACAGUGCUAAACACCUUGUGGAUGCUUAAAUAUAUUAACUGAAUGCAUAAAUGAAAAGAGUAAAUAAAGAGUGUAUAUGAAAAUAUGUAGAUAAAA